UACAGAGGGUGCGAGCGUUAAUCGGAAUUACUGGGUGUAAAGCGUGCGUAGACGGUUAUUUAAGUCGGGUGUGAAAGCCCCGGGCUCAACCUGGGAAUUGCAUUCGAGACUGAAUAGCUAGGGUACGGUAGAGGGAAGCGGAAUUUCCGGUGUAGCGGUGAAAUGCGUAGAUAUCGGAAGGAACAUCAGUGGCGAAAGCGGCUUCCUGGACCAGUACCGACGUUCAGGCACGAAAGCGUGGGGAGCAAACAGG
rnacentral:rRNA from 1 species